ensembl:snRNA U2 U2 spliceosomal RNA
AUCGCUUCUCGGCCUUUUGGCUAAGAUCAAGUGUAGUGUCUGUUCUUCUCAGUUUAAUAAAGUAACUCUUACAUUCCGACCUUUCUGGUGUUAUGGGGCCGCAUCAGGUCUAUGGCUACUUCCUGCUGAGAAGGGAACGGCGUGAUGAUUGGGGUCUGUGGUCGGAAUGGAAGAGUACCGGUGAACCAGC